AUUGAACGCUGGCGGCAUGCCUUACACAUGCAAGUCGAACGGUAACAGGUUAAGCUGACGAGUGGCGAACGGGUGAGUAAUAUAUCGGAACGUGCCCAGUCGUGGGGGAUAACUGCUCGAAAGAGCAGCUAAUACCGCAUACGACCUGAGGGUGAAAGCGGGGGAUCGCAAGACCUCGCGCGAUUGGAGCGGCCGAUAUCAGAUUAGGUAGUUGGUGGGGUAAGAGCCCACCAAGCCAACGAUCUGUAGCUGGUCUGAGUGUACGACCAGCCAAACUGGGACUGAGACACGGCCCAGGCUCCUACGGGAGGCAGCAGUGGGGAAUUUUGUACAAUGGGCGCAAGCCUGAUCCAGCCAUGCCGCGUGCGGGAAGAAGGCCUUCGGGUUAUAAACCGCUUUUGUCAGGGAAGAAAAGGUUCUGGUUAAUACCUGGGACUCAUGACGGUACCUGAAGAAUAAGCACCGGCUAACUACGUGCCAGCCGCCGCGGUAA
rnacentral:rRNA from 1 species